AACGAAGUGAAGCAUGUUAUUUAAUACGAAAGUACGCGUAAAAUCUUACCAGUUCUUGCAUAGCCAAUCCCUCUUAAAUAAGGAGAAAGUAUUUAUUUAUAUAAAUAGUAAUUUGUAUUAUUAUUUUUAUUAUAUUGUUUUUCUUUUUUUAUUUAAGACUGGAUUGAGUGAUAGUUAUUUAUAAAUAAGUUAUUUUACUUUUUUUGUUUUUCCAUAUUUAAUAUACACCUUUGCAGUUAUAUUUAGCCCUAUGUAGGAUCAUACUACUUUUCCUUUGCUUUGCUCCUCCCUAAAGGAGGGAAUAAAGACAAAAGCAAAAGUGUACCUACAUAGGAUUGAUAGUAAUAAGGCAAAAGUAGAAAUAGAAAUGGAGUAGACAAAAUAGUGUAAAUAUAUUUAAUUUAUUUAUAUUAAUUUAUCCGUUUACAGGU
rnacentral:rRNA from 1 species